AUGAGUGUUAACCGUUUGAUUCUCCGGCUUUUUGACACGGUCGCAGCUCCAUCUCGCCCAGCCUGGAAGCGAAAGACACUCUGGGACCCCAAGUCGCCACCGAGGAGAGCGAGAGCCCAGGUCCCGGGGCGGACUCAGGGGUCCGGCGGCUCGGAGGCCUGCCCUGAGUCCCCCAAACCCGACCCCCGGCCCCCUCGAAAGGGCCGACAGGUACGCACUCACUUCCGGCGGGCCCCAGAGCUCCGGGAACCCGCGGGGGUAGGAGUGGGGGGGUCGGGGACGGAUCCCUUAGCCGUGCGGGUCGCGCCCCACCCCGGGAGUGCCGCCCGCUUCCCCGAGCUCUGGCCGCCCCCGAAGCGUGGCUGGCGACGCUGCCGGGCCCGAGGUGGGCCUCGCUUCUACUUACUGCUGGGGAGCCAGCCCCGCGUGGCGCGCCUCGCUUUCCCCGCCCCGAGCGCGGCCGCCGCAACCUCCCGCCUUAAAGGGCCGGGGGCCGGGAGCCGGGAGCGGGCCAGGCACCAGCAGCGCGGGCAGGCGGCGGAGGUGGGCGGUGCGCGCGCCCGGAGACACGCGUUUCCGGUCCCUCCUACCGCGGACAGGUGUUCCCAGGGCGCUGCGGGGCGCGGGGUCGCAGGUGUGCCGGUGCGCGCCGGAGGAGGACGCUGGGGGAGAGGAGAUCGGGCCUCCCUCCGCAGGGUCCCCAAGGUAUUCGGGCCGCCAAAUCAGGUUCCGGGACUCCGAGGGCAGCGUGGGCGAGGAGCGCGAGGCGAGCGAGUUAUGCCAUCUGGCCCAUAUAACCAGAGGAAACUUGGCACCCACAUUCAACUAGAAUGACCAUCAAUUCACAAAACAUCCCAUUUUCUCUUUGCCAAGAACAAAGUGACAACUGAUCUCAACGUGUAAGUACUUAUAUAAAACAAAUGACUUGAGCAGGGAAUAUUUCUUAAGAAGAUAGGGUUGGAAGAGCAUUUUAGUGUCAUCAGAUAUAUCCAACUAUGUUCUGAGAAUAUAACCUAAUUUAUCUUUCUUUGUGUUUGUCUCUGAAGUUUCCCUUCAAUUUAACAAAUACUUUUUGAGCACCUGCUUUAUAAAAUGGAAUGAGCCAAACACUAAAAGGAUACCAAGCUAUAUUAGGCAGGAAAUGGCUCUAGCUCUAUAAGAAAGAAAAUACGAGAUUUCAGUGGCUUAACCCAAUAGAACUUAAUUUCAUGCUCACUCAACAGCUCAGUGAUGCUGUCCUAGGUCAGGCAACUCUCUUCCACCUGGUGAGCCAGGGAUUUGGGCUCCUUCUCUCUUGAGUUCCUGCCAUCUUCUAGGGCAUCAGGAUCUUGGCUCAAGCUGCCUAAGUG
rnacentral:lncRNA from 1 species